UACGGGGGGGGUAAGCGUUGUUCGGAAUUACUGAGCGUAAAGGGCGCGUAGGCGGCCUUCUAAGUCAGACGUGAAAUCCCUCGGCUCAACCGGGGAACUGCGUCUGAGACUGGAAGGCUUGAAUCCGGGAGAGGGAUGUGGAAUUCCAGGUGUAGCGGUGAAAUGCGUAGAUAUCGGGAGGAACAUCAGUGGCGAAGGCGGCUACCUGGCCCAAUACUGACACUCAGGUGCGACAGCGUGGGGAGCAAACAGG
rnacentral:rRNA from 1 species